rnacentral:rRNA from 1 species
GACGAACGCUGGCGGCGUGCCUAAUACAUGCAAGUCGAGCGGACUUUCAAGAAGCUUGCUUUUUGAAAGUUAGCGGCGGACGGGUGAGUAACACGUGGGCAACCUGCCUGCAAGACGGGGAUAACUCCGGGAAACCGGGGCUAAUACCGGAUAGUAUCUUCCUUCGCAUGAAGGAAGGUUGAAAGGCGGCGCAAGCUACCGCUUGCAGAUGGGCCCGCGGCGCAUUAGCUAGUUGGUGAGGUAACGGCUCACCAAGGCGACGAUGCGUAGCCGACCUGAGAGGGUGAUCGGCCACACUGGGACUGAGACACGGCCCAGACUCCUACGGGAGGCAGCAGUAGGGAAUCUUCCGCAAUGGACGAAAGUCUGACGGAGCAACGCCGCGUGAGCGAAGAAGGUCUUCGGAUCGUAAAGCUCUGUUGUCAGGGAAGAACAAGUACCGUUCGAACAGGGCGGUACCUUGACGGUACCUGACCAGAAAGCCACGGCUAACUACG